UUUUACUGUCAUGUGUUUGUGUUGGUUCAUUGAUCCUCAAAAACGAUUGUUCCCGGUCAUUAGUCGCGACAGUUGCAACCGCAGAAGCUGCUAAAAGUCGUGCGUUACGUUCAUCGGCAAAGUGUCGUUACUUACGGCGCGAAACUGUUAGUACAGUAUGAGGCCCAAAAUUUCAUUUUCAGGACCGCUGCUGGUCCUGACGCCUGAUAAAUAAACUGGAUCUUAUUAUAGGUGAUAUAAGAAAAAAUGAAUAUGUUGCUAGAGGAGGUGAAACAUGCUUCAAUUUCUAAAUAACACCGGAGAAUGCCGAAAAACUUGCACAUGCUGGAGAAAAAAUUGAUUCCGUGGAAAUAAAAACAGUGCCGAUCAGCCGUCAAAAACAAUGGACAUUUUGAUCGUUCAACUGAAUUUAUAGUUUAGUGUAUAACAAAAAUUGAAUAAAUAUUUUCUUUUUAAAUUGAAAAA